GAGUUGGUCCUCUGAAGAAGGAAGGAGGGAAAUGAGGAGAAAAGCACUUAGAAGCUUCAAUGGAGCUGGGAAAGCAUUGCCUCUACACGAAAGUGAACGUAUGUUCUUUCCGUCAGUUCAUGGUGAGCAUUGGUUUUUGUUCGUUGUCGACAUUAUAGCAAGAAAAUUUGUCUUCCUAGAUUCAUAUUAUGAAGGGAACACACCAUUUCAUAUCGGGAUCAGAGAUUUGAUGAUAAAUAAUUUCAUAAAAACAUGGGAAGAAUCUAAUUUGAGAGGGAUGGGUUUCAGAAAGUUUGGUGUAGAGUACCCAAACAUGUCAAAGCAAAUAGGAAGGUAAAAACUAGCUAAUUCGUGUAAACAUAAAUUCACAACUACUGUUUUUAUUUUUUUAAUUCUUUUGUUGUUAAAUUUUAUGCAAAAAACACAGCGAUGCAUGUGGGAUUUUUGGUCUUAAGUGGAUGCAAACUUGGGCUUCACGAAAUCCUCUACAGCGACAGUUAACGAUGAACGACGUAGCAGAUGCA